rnacentral:lncRNA from 1 species
GAGAAAUCACAAUGGGGAUCUAAUUAUAGCUUACUCCAUUUUCUUUGAUUCAUGCACUAAUAAUAUGGCUGAACUUAGAGUGGUGCAUUGUCAAUGGAUACAAGGAGGUCAAAAUUGAAUCUGAUUCCCUAGUCUUAAUCAAUAUGCUAUAAACAUUCAUGCUGGAACACCUUGGCAGAUUGCUCUCUUGGUAGAACAUAUUAGAGAGUUAAGGCAAAAAGGCAACUUCAUUUUCUUUACGGGCACUGACAUUUUACCUAUGAAGGUAAUAGCUGCUUUGAACAAUGACAAAAAUCAGUUAGUCAACUUCAGAAUUAGGACGAGAAAGAACUCCUUCGUCGUUUAACCAUUUUCGUCAUUGCUUUUGUUUAUCUGGAAGGAUUAAUACCUUCCUCAACCUUUUACUUUGAAGUACCUUACUUUAUACUCCACUGGAAGGUGUUCCCCAACAGUUGAUUUAGGAGUUGCUUAGUUUAGAUUUACCAACUCCUCGUGUAAUGAUAUUUUAUUUCAGAAUUAAUAAAGUUGUUUCGUGUUUAUUAUAAAAAAAUAAAAAAAUGAAUGCUCAAUUACAAAUUUCAUGAUACUAUCCUUAGUUCUCAAUUAUAGAUCCACGAACUUGAUGACACUAUCCUUGACUUCCCAAUUGUAGAACCACAACUCCAUGACACUACCCUUGAGCUCCUAAUUGUAGAACCACAAACUCCACAACGAUAUCUUUUAACUCUUAAUUGUAGAAUCGCAAACUCCGUGAUGCUAUCCUCGAAUUUUCUAUUGUAGAACCACAACCUGCAUGACACAAACUUAUGAUCCAUCUCUUAAAUGGAAUUAGACUUAACACGUCUUAAUUAAGUUACUACAACAUAGUCUCAGAAUCGAAGCACUAUCACUAAAUAUCAUGCCUACAACUGCUGUCUAAAAAAAUUACAAAGAACAAUUAGGCAAAACACAUUUAAAAAAAUUAUGGGUCAAGAGUUAUGCCUCCAAUCUCAAGAUUAUCAAAUAUAUUUUAUUUUAUACAAGUCUUUAGCCAAAAAGAACUACAAACAACACUCAGUGAUGAAGCCGUAAUUGUUUUUGCAGCUAUCCGUUGGCAAUUGAAAUCCAGUAAUUGAAACAACAUUUCAGUAAUAAUUGAGAUGUAUAGACGGUCAUAAUACAAAGCAUAAAGUAGUUCUACGAAAUGUUUGACAUUUUUCUAAUUAUUUUUCAUUCAGAAUACCACUAUUUAUAUAACCUUGCCCCUAAAUAUCUACAAUUAAAUGUAUUGGUGAGCCAUUGAUUUCAUCUCCCCCAUUGCAACCGUUUUUCCAAAGCUAAAAGGAAGAAUCAAGCACAUCAUAACAAAAGAAUGACUACUAAUCAGGAAAGAAAACUACAUUAAUCAAUCUUCUGCAAAUUCAUGUUGUGUUAAACAAUUUAUAAAACACCAAAUAGCAAGAAUAAGUUGCGGUUAUUUCAUACUCCAGACCAUCAUAUAUACAAAAAUAGUUUAGGAAGAGUGUUGCUUAUAAUACAAUGGUUGAACCAUUAGAAACCUAAUUGAUAGUAACUUCUCAUCUCAAUCCAGGUACCCACUCAAAAGAAAAAAUAAAUCAAUAUAUAUAUAUAUAUAUACAUGCACACCCAUGCAUGUACAUAUAUUUAACUUCUAAAAGAUAGAACUCAAACAUCUCAAACUGAAUUAGAAGAAGGAAGACGGCACAAUCUUUCUUUAGAAAACUGAGCACAAAGAAAAUAUAAUCACUUACCUAAAGUUUGUUUUGAAGUUUUAGUUUAAAACCCCAAAAAUAUUGACUUGGUGAGAAGAAAAAUAAGGCAUGGAGGAACAACUUCAAUCAGAACCAUGUCAAUUUUUUCAAUCUGAACCAUUGGGUAGCCGGGAGUUCUUUGUAGGCUUAAGCGUUUUGUCUUUUAGUUUUGCCGUGCGUCCAUUGGCUAAGGUUGCGAUCC